AUAUUUGUAACUUAUCAGAGAUAUCUAUAAACAAGCUUUGCUUCAUUUCAACGUAUUGUGUUAAAUACACCAAGGUCUUCUUCACUAAGUUUUUUGAAUUUUUUCUUUUGUUGAAUCUUGUAUGUUGGAGCUUUGUGAGUGAAGCAUGUAGGUUGAGGUAGUGCUCCCUUAAUUUCCCGAGUGAGGAAAACUUCUCGGUUGGAGACUUGAAAAAAUCCAAGUCACUGAGUGGUCAUGAGACUUCCGAGUAUCAAGGUGCAGUAGCAUAUGGUAGGAGUCCACUAAGUCUCCGGUCGAUGGAGUUGACGAAGGAGGUGUCUUGCUAGUAGCCAAGUUUCCAAAAGUAACAAAACUUCACCAUUUUCCUUUCUAAGUGGUAGCCCAAAACUCCUUCAUAUAUAUUUGUUUUGAAAGUUGUUAGGCACAAAGAAGAGGAAGUCUAGGCAAUUUUUUUUUUGUUUUGAAUUU
rnacentral:lncRNA from 1 species